GUCCCCAAGGCAUUACAGAAGGCCAUCUGUCCAGACAGAUGACAUCCAUGGCUCCUCCCUUGUCCACUGAUGCAGUCAACUCUGUCACAAAAGGCCACUAUGUUUGUCAGGCAGAACUUGCCCUUGGUGAAGCCAUGCUGGAGGUUCUGUUUCACCUCUCUGUCCUCCAUGCAGCAUAGCUGCCAUGAAGUUUACAGCCAUUCCCUUUGUCCUGUCACCACACAGCCUUGUAAAAAAGAACUAAAAAUUUUGGAACUACAAAAAUUGAAUACAUUGGUUACCUUGGACAAACAUCUGCUCCAUACAUACAGCUCCACAGAUACAGCUCAAAUUGAUUCUCAAGCAAUAGCAGUGACAAAUAUAUAUAGGUGAUCCUUAUCUCUUGCACAGUGUGCAAUACUUUGCACCAGGAUGGCCAGAGCUUCUUCAGAUCAAGCAGUGGCUGGUGGCUUGGAAGCACCCUCCUAUUUCACUCCAGAACUUCCAUGACUUUGCAAUUUUCCCCACCUGGUUACAAUAGCUACAUGGGGAGAUUAUCUAGUACAAUAUUUAAUUUUGACCAGACCAUUACAAAUAACAGUACCUUGAUUCUCUGUAAACGUUAAAUAAAAAAGGUCACUACGAGAGCUAGUGAAAUAUUAAGUAAGAAUA